rnacentral:lncRNA from 14 species
UACACGUGCUGAGUCUCAGGCUCUACCAUAGAGUGAAAUGGAUAAGAGGAAAGUUAAUUAUCAGUGCAUUCCGGUUUGAUCUGACUGUAAGGAGCUCCUCAGUUCCCACUGUACUGCAA